UAAUACGGAGGGUGCAAGCGUUAUCCGGAUUCACUGGGUUUAAAGGGUGCGUAGGCGGAAAUGUAAGUCCGUUGUGAAAUCUCUGAGCUUAACUCGGAAAUUGCGGUGGAUACUAUAUUUCUUGAAUACUGUGGAGGUUAGCGGAAUAUGUCAUGUAGCGGUGAAAUGCAUAGAUAUGACAUAGAACACCAAUUGCGAAGGCAGCUGGCUACACAGAUAUUGACGCUGAGGCACGAAAGCGUGGGGAUCAAACAGGAUUAGAUACCCUGGUAGUCCACGCCCUAAACGAUGAUUACUCGACAUUUGCGAUACACAGCAAGUGUCUGAGCGAAAGCAUUAAGUAAUCCACCUGGGAAGUACGACCGCAAGGUU
rnacentral:rRNA from 1 species